rnacentral:rRNA from 1 species
GACGAACGCUGGCGGCGUGCCUAAUACAUGCAAGUAGAACGCACAGUUUAUACCGUAGCUUGCUACACCAUAGACUGUGAGUUGCGAACGGGUGAGUAACGCGUAGGUAACCUGCCUGGUAGCGGGGGAUAACUAUUGGAAACGAUAGCUAAUACCGCAUAAUAUUAAUUAUUGCAUGAUAAUUAAUUGAAAGGUGCAAUUGCACCACUACCAGAUGGACCUGCGUUGUAUUAGCUAGUAGGUGAGGUAACGGCUCACCUAGGCGACGAUACAUAGCCGACCUGAGAGGGUGAUCGGCCACACUGGGACUGAGACACGGCCCAGACUCCUACGGGAGGCAGCAGUAGGGAAUCUUCGGCAAUGGACGAAAGUCUGACCGAGCAACGCCGCGUGAGUGAAGAAGGUUUUCGGAUCGUAAAGCUCUGUUGUAAGAGAAGAAACGGGUGUGAGGAGUGGAAAAG